rnacentral:rRNA from 1 species
AUCAAGCUUAUCGAUACCGUCGACUGUCACUGACACUGAUGCUCGAAAGUGUGGGUAUCAAACAGGAUUAGAUACCCUGGUAGUCCACACAGUAAACGAUGAAUACUCGCUGUUUGCGAUAUACAGUAAGCGGCCAAGCGAAAGCAUUAAGUAUUCCACCUGGGGAGUACGCCGGCAACGGUGAAACUCAAAGGAAUUGACGGGGGCCCGCACAAGCGGAGGAACAUGUGGUUUAAUUCGAUGAUACGCGAGGAACCUUACCCGGGCUUAAAUUGCAACAGAAUAUAUUGGAAACAGUAUAGCCGUAAGGCUGUUGUGAAGGUGCUGCAUGGUUGUCGUCAGCUCGUGCCGUGAGGUGUCGGCUUAAGUGCCAUAACGAGCGCAACCCUUAUCUUUAGUUACUAACAGGUCAUGCUGAGGACUCUAGAGAGACUGCCGUCGUAAGAUGUGAGGAAGGUGGGGAUGACGUCAAAUCAGCACGGCCCUUACGUCCGGGGCUACACACGUGUUACAAUGGGGGGUACAGAGGGCCGCUACCUGGUGACAGGAUGCUAAUCCCAAAAACCUCUCUCAGUUCGGAUCGAAGUCUGCAACCCGACUUCGUGAAGCUGGAUUCGCUAGUAAUCGCGCAUCAGCCACGGCGCGGUGAAUACGUUCCCGGGCCUUGUACACACCGCCCGUCAAGCCAUGAAAGCCGGGGGUACCUGAAGUACGUAACCGCAAGGAUCGUCCUAGGGUAAAACUGGUGACUGGGGCUAAGUCGUAACAAGGUAGCCGGACGGUAUCGAUAAGCUU